rnacentral:rRNA from 1 species
AUUGAACGCUGGCGGCAGGCCUAACACAUGCAAGUCGAGCGGAUGAAGGGAGCUUGCUCCUGGAUUCAGCGGCGGACGGGUGAGUAAUGCCUAGGAAUCUGCCUGGUAGUGGGGGAUAACGUCCGGAAACGGGCGCUAAUACCGCAUACGUCCUGCGGGAGCAAGUGGGGGAUCUUCGGACCUCACGCUAUCAGAUGAGCCUAGGUCGGAUUAGCUAGUUGGUGGGGUAAAGGCCUACCAAGGCGACGAUCCGUAACUGUCUGAGAGGAUGAUCAGUCACACUGGAACUGAGACACGGUCAAGACUCCUACGGGAGGCAGCAGUGGGGAAUAUUGGACAAUGGGCGAAAGCCUGAUCCAGCCAUGCCGCGUGUGUGAAGAAGGUCUUCGGAUUGUAAAGCACUUUAAGUUGGGAGGAAGGGCAGUAAGUUAAUACCUUGCUGUUUUGACGUCACCAACAGAAUAAGCACCGGCUAACUUCGUG